GAGCCUGUAGCUUAGUGGUUACGAAAGCCUCAGUAGCAUCCGAGGUCCUGGGUUCGAUUCUCGGUGGGAGCA